rnacentral:rRNA from 1 species
CCUACGGGAGGCUGCAGUGGGGAAUAUUGCGCAAUGGGCGAAAGCCUGACGCAGCGACGCCGCGUGAGGGAUGAAGGUCUUCGGAUCGUAAACCUCUGUUAGCGGGGAAGAACGGUCACUGUGCUAAUCAGCAGUUAAUUGACGGUACCUGCAAAGGAAGCACCGGCUAACUCCGUGCCAGCAGCCGCGGUAAUACGUAGGGUGCGAGCGUUAAUCGGAAGUAUUGGGCGUAAAGGGCUCGUAGGCGGUAUGUCAAGUCUAGGGUGAAAUCCCCGGGCUCAACGUGGGAAGGGCCUUUGAAACUGGCCACCUGGAGGGUGUGAGAGGAUAGUGGAAUUCAAGGUGGAGGAGUGAAAGCCGUAGAUAUCUGGAGGAACA